rnacentral:misc_RNA from 1 species
GGAAGUAAAGUCGUAACAAGGUCUCCGUUGGUGAACCAGCGGAGGGAUCACUACCGAGUUUACAACUCCCAAACCCCUGUGAACAUACCAUUUGUUGCCUCGGCGGUGCCUGCUUCGGCAGCCCGCCAGAGGACCCAAACCCUUGAUUUUAUACAGUAUCUUCUGAGUAAAUGAUUAAAUAAAUCAAAACUUUCAACAACGGAUCUCUUGGUUCUG